ensembl:lncRNA
UGACUCUUUGCCACCCCAUGAAUUGCAGCAAGCCAGGUCUCCUGGUCCAUCACCAACUCCCGGAGUUCACUCAGACUCACGUGCAUCGAGUCAUGCCAUCCAGCCAUCUCAUCCUCUGUCGUCCCCUUCUCCUCCUGAUCCCAAUCCCUCCCAGCAUUAGAAUCUUUUCCAACGAGUAAAAAUAAGCUAAAAACUUCAAUUAAAGCACAAAGAUUUUCAAACUAGAUUUUCCUUAAAAGACAACUUUAUGCUAUUUACAAGAGAUACUUUUAAAUGUAAGUACAAAAAAUAUUGAAUAUAAAGAGAUGAAAAUAGAUCUACCAUUAACAUAUUGACCAAAAUAAAAUUAAUGUAAUUUUACUAUUAUCAAACAAAAUAUACUUUAAAGCAAACUUGCUAGACAUAGAGAAACAUGUCCUGAAAAUAAAGAAUUAAAUACACCAAAAAGAUAAAGCAAUUCUAAAAAUAUAUGCACAUAAGUACUAAAAUAUAUAAAGUAAACUAUUAAUAGUACUAAGAGGAAAGAUUUACAAAAAUAUUUGGACUAUUUGGAAUGUAUCUUUCAAAAGAAGACCAAAAAUAAAAAAUAUUGCGGAGAUGUAGAAGAUUCGAAAAAACACUUGGCCUAAUUGACUAUAUAGGUCAAUUGACCAUAUUCAACCCUAUAAUACAUUUUUUUUCCCAAAUCCAUAUGAAACAUUUGCCAAAGUGAUCAUAUGCUGGGAAAUUUGUAAAAAUUAUCCAAAUUUCCAGAAGGUAUAAAUGAUUCAGGAUAUGUUUACUGAUAGGAGUAAAUUGAAACUAUAAAUCAAUAACAAAAAAGAAUUAAAACAUUUCCAAAAGUUUGUAAAUUCACCACUUCUGGUAAAGAAUCUGCCUGCAAUGCAGGAGACCCGGUUCUAUUCCUGGGUCUGGAAGAUGGGCUGGAGAAGGCAUAGGCUACCCAUUCCAAAAUUCAUGGGCUUCCCUGGUGGUUCAGCUGGUAAAGAAUCCACCUGCAAUGUAGCAGACCUAUGUUCGAUCUCUGGGUUGGGAAGAUCCCCUGGAGAAGGGAAAGGCCACCCAUUCCAGUAUUCUGGCCUGGAGAAUGCCAUGGACUGUAUAGUCCAUGGGGUGGCAAAGAGUCAGACAGGACUGAG